AUUGAACGCUGGCGGCAGGCCUAACACAUGCAAGUCGAACGAGUGGCGGACGGGAGAAUAGUGUCGGGGAAACUGCCUGAUGGAGGGAUAUCACUAGUGGAAACGGUAGAUAAUCCCGCAUAACAUCAGGUGUGCAGAGAUGGGAUUAGAUAGUUGGUGGGGUAACGGCUCACCAAGGCGACGAUCCCUAGCUGGUCUGAGAGGAUGACCAGCCACACUGGAACUGAGACACGGUCCAGACUCCUACGGGAGGCAGCAGUGGGGAAUAUUGCACAAUGGGCGAAAGCCUGAUGCAGCCAUGCCGCGUGUAUGAAGAAGGCCUUCGGGUUGUAAAGUACUUUCAGCGGGGAGGCGUUACCCGCAGAAGAAGCACCGGCUAACUCCGUGCCAGCAGCCGCGGUAAUAC
rnacentral:rRNA from 1 species